UGGAUAAUGCACUUCCUAUUCCAGUCCCA
rnacentral:piRNA from 1 species